rnacentral:rRNA from 1 species
GAAUAUUGCGCAAUGGGCGAAAGCCUGACGCAGCAACGCCGCGUGGAGGAUGAAGGCCUUCGGGUCGUAAACUUCUGUCAGGAGGGAAGAAGGCUGUCGGUCGAAUAAGCCGGUCAGCUUGACGGUACCUCCCCAGGACGCCCCGGCUAACUCCGUGCCCGCAGCCGCGGUAAUACGGAGGGGGCAAGCGUUAUUCGGAAUUAUUGGGCGUAAAGGGCGCGUAGGCGGCUUGGCAAGUCGAAGGUGAAAUCCCCCGGCUCAACUGGGGAACUGCCUUCGAAACUGCCAGGCUAGAGUCCGGGAGAGGGUAGUGGAAUUCCCAGUGUAGCGGUGAAAUGCGUAGAUACUGGGAGGAACACCAGUGGCGAAGGCGGCUACCUGGACAGGUACUGACGCUGAGGCGCGAAAGCGUGGGGAGCAAACAGG